CCCAGUGCAUAGUGUUCCUCGGAUAGAAGUGUCUUUGGUAAGAGGGAGGAGUGUGAGGCCAUGUGUUCUGAGGUCACCUCCCCAUAGUACUGACCACCUGAGUUCCUCCUGUCCCCUCUUGAGAGCUGCCGCCAUCAUCCCUUGCCCUAUUAGUGGCUACCUCCCACUCCUGAGUGCCUUUUAUUCUCUUUCUCCCUUGGGCUGUGAGAAGGGCAGAGUGCCCAGCCAGGGAAUGGACAUGGAUGUGUGUGGUUGUGCAUGUGUGUGUGUGUGUGUGUGUGUGUGUGUGUGUUUGUGUGUGUGUGUGUAGGGGCUGGGGCUGACAGCAGGUCAGAGCACAGGAGUAGAGAGCUUCUGGCAAGUGAGGCUGCCCUUAGGUCAGCUCUGUACCCUGGAGCCCAGAGGACUCUUCACUCAGACGGCAACAGCCUGCAAGACCCCGAGAAGCCAGAGCAGCUUCAGUCACUGACCAGAGGAGACCCCGAGGAGCCCGGGAGGAGCCUCAGGAGUGUUCACAAUGACAGUACCCUGGAAAGCUCUGGAAUAAAAAUACCUGGGCUUUAGGUCGUGGAGGUAGGAGAUGGUAUCGUGUAAUGAAAGGUUUCAUUUUUCUCACCUGCCACAGCCUUAAUGUCAGAUGCUUGGGAAACAAGAGGUGGGGAUGAAUGGGCCUUGGAGCUGGCUGAUGGGAGGGCUCGGGGCAGGUGGGUGGCCAGUCUGCCUGUGACCUCUCCCCUUUGCUUCUUGAGAUUCACAAACAAAUUCCUGGUUCCUGGUGCCCAGGCUGCUCCCUGUCACCCUCUUUGUUGUUCUCUGCCUCCUUCAGGUGAUGGUGGGCUCCUGCUCCACAUCCUGAUGGGACUCUCUGGAGCUGACAGAACCCUUUACUGCCUACAACUUGGGCCUGGUGCUUCUUUCAAGGUAUAUGUUUUAUGAGGUAAGCCUGAUCAGCGCUUUCUGCAGAGUUCCAGCAUCUGUUACUCCUUGGGGAGCCCAAAGGAUAAAUAAAGCCAUGAGCUUCUGACACAAAAAGUUCC
rnacentral:lncRNA from 1 species